CCACUACAUUCCAAUGGUAACAGUACAUACAAAUAAGCUCCUACAUGCACACACAUACUCUGUGUAUUUGAAUGUAAGCAUGUUUUUGUACAAACACUGCUCAUAAUUACAAUCUGUUCAAUAAAGUUCAUGCUAAGUUCUUACCUCCUCACAGAUCAUACGACUAUGCUAUUGACUUUUUACCAGGUACUAUGCCACCUAAGAGUAGGGUGUAUCCAUUGUCCCCACAUGAUGGUGAGAUAAUGGAAGAAUACAUCCAGGAAUCGCUCUCUAAUGAAUUAAUUCAAAGAUCCUGCAAGAGCGGGUUUUCUUCUUUGUCUCAAAAAAGGAGUGAGAUUUAUAACCCUGCUUUGACUACAG